rnacentral:rRNA from 1 species
UACGUAGGGUGCAAGCGUUAAUCGGAAUUACUGGGCGUAAAGCGUGCGCAGGCGGCGCGUUAAGACAGGUGUGAAAGCCCCGAGCUUAACUUGGGAAUUGCGCUUGUGACUGGCGAGCUGGAGUGUGGCAGAGGGAGGUGGAAUUCCACGUGUAGCAGUGAAAUGCGUAGAUAUCUGGAAGAACACCAAUGGCGAAGGCACCAUCCUGGGAAGCAUCUGACGCUCAGGUGCGAAAGCUAGGGGAGCAAACGGG